rnacentral:rRNA from 1 species
GCGUCGACCGGCGCACGGGUGAGUAACGCGUAUCCAACCUGCCCACCACUUGGGGAUAACCUUGCGAAAGUAAGACUAAUACCCAAUGAUAUCUCUAGAAGACAUCUGAAAGAGAUUAAAGAUUUAUCGGUGAUGGAUGGGGAUGCGUCUGAUUAGCUUGUUGGCGGGGUAACGGCCCACCAAGGCAACGAUCAGUAGGGGUUCUGAGAGGAAGGUCCCCCACAUUGGAACUGAGACACGGUCCAAACUCC